UACGUAGGGACCGAGCGUUGUCCGGAUUCAUUGGGCGUAAAGAGCUCGUAGGCGGCUAUUCAAGUCGAACGUGAAAACUCGGAGCUCAACUCCGAGCCUGCGUUCGAUACUGGAUGGCUAGAGUCUGGUAGGGGGAUCUGGAAUUCCUGGUGUAGCGGUGGAAUGCGCAGAUAUCAGGAGGAACACCGGUGGCGAAGGCGGCUUGCUGGGCCAGUUCUGACGCUGAGGAGCGAAAGCGUGGGGAGCGAACAGG
rnacentral:rRNA from 1 species